rnacentral:misc_RNA from 1 species
GAUGAAGAACGCAGCGAAAUGCGAUAAGUAAUGUGAAUUGCAGAAUUCCGUGAAUCAUCGAAUCUUUGAACGCACAUUGCGCCCGCCAGUAUUCUGGCGGGCAUGCCUGUUCGAGCGUCAUUUCAACCAUCAAGCCCCAGGCUUGUGUUGGGGACCUGCGGCUGCCGCAGGCCCUGAAAACCAGUGGCGGGCUCGCUGUCACACCGGGCGUAGUAGAUUUUAUCUCGCUCAGGGCGUGCUGCGGGUUCCGGCCGUUAAAAAGCCUUUUUUACCCAAGGUUGACCUCGGAUCAGGUAGGAAGACCCGCUGAACUUAAGCAUAUCAAUAAGCGGAGGA